UACAGAGGGUGCGAGCGUUGUCCGGAAUCACUGGGCGUAAAGGGCGCGUAGGUGGUGGCUUAAGCGUGCGGUGAAAGCUCGGGGCUCAACUCCGAGUCGGCCGUGCGAACUGGGCUCACUGGAGCAUAGUAGAGGCAGGGGGAAUUCCGGGUGUAGCGGUGGAAUGCGUAGAGAUCCGGAAGAACACCGGUGGCGAAGGCGGCCUGCUGGGCUAUGGCUGACACUGAGGCGCGACAGCGUGGGGAGCAAACAGG
rnacentral:rRNA from 1 species